UCUCUCAUGCUGAUCCCUCCAAGUUGCUACCUACAAAGCCAACGUCCAUUUUCUCAUUUCGGUCAGAACUCAGAGAAGAGAGAGAGAGAGCUUCAUCCUAAGUCAUUCAGUCACUCACUAAGGAAGAAAGAAAGAGAAAGGAUAAGCAAAAAAGGCUGAGGUCUAAUCACCCACAUCAAACCAUAUCAAGCUAAGUCAAAAGCUAAAGGCAUUCAGGCAAGAAAAAGGGAUUUGUUUCAUUUUCCCAUUUUGGGGAUUAAUAGAAGAAUGUGAAAGGGUAAGUUGGUGAAGUACACAGCUCGAUGAGUUGACUUAAAAGAGAACAUCUCAACAACAUGCAAUGAGGUACAAAAGAAAAUUGUUUUAUGCUUCUGAAGGCAAGGAGAGAGAACCAGGGUUUGAGGUUUUUGUUCUAUGAAGUUUUCUCUAAAGAAGUUCAUCAACGUGGACGAUGCUCUCUAGUAAAAGAAGCAUUCUGCCAGAAUGAAGAACUAAAUCAGAAGAAAGUGAAUCUGGUUCUACCUAUAGCAACUAAGGUUGUUGAAGCAUCAAUCUCCUUUAUGUUUUAUAGAUUGUAAUUUAAUUUUCAAUGUAUAUCUUUUUGCAAUUUCUUGAGUGGUAAAAGGAUGAAAGAAAGAGUAUAUGAAAAAGCAAAGAGUGAUAAAAGGUUGAGUGAUGCACUUCAAUGAAAAAUCUAGAGUGAUUUCAAAUUUCUUUAGGAUGUUUCCAUUGUCUUGUAUCCAAUUCCUGUGAAGUACCUCUUUCUUAGUUGGGUUAGCACUAAGAGUGAAGAGUUAGGUAUUAGCAUAGUCAAGUUAGGUUAGAACUUGAAAGGGAAAGAAUUGUGCCAAUCAUGUGGAAUUGGUGUAUGUAAUACUUUAACUAUAAUGAAAAUUCCACCACUGUUGUGAUGAAAA